CAUUUACUAGUGUAUGCAACACAAAAAUGUAAAAGGUGAACAUAAGUGUAUUCAUAAAGUAAAUGAAAAAACGUAAGUAAUAUCAACUAGCAUUAAAACUUGGUUAAAAUUAAGUAAACCUAACAUAAAAUUUUACGUAUUUGUGAGCUGCGUGAUAUGCAAAUAUUCUAUCCAGCCAAUGAGCGAAGCUGGAGCCAUUUUGAAGCGUGAUGUGGUGAAGACAGCGAGUACUCUGUCAGUGGGGUGUAUUCCUUAACCGGAAGCGCAACACAACAUUUUCUGAAGUUCGAUGUGGUGAAGACGGAGAUAAGAGUGGGGUGUAUUCGUAAACUGGAAGCACAACGCAACGUUUUCUGAAGCACAAUGUGGUGACGAUGGUGAAAGGAGUGCGAAAAUUUGUGGUGCAACAAUAGAAGGAUAUGGUGCAUCCUGUUUUUGGAGUCCAAUGCUGUCUGCAGAAAUGCACAGAGAAGUUGAUUCAGUGUUUAAUGGUGUACAUCUCUGACAAUGCUGAUAAUCUCAUCAGGCAUUACCAGGUGAGUGUCUGGAAUACAUUGAACGCUAUACAUAAGGCAGUAGUAUUUAAACCUGGUCUUGGGGACCCCCUGCUCUGCACAUUUUUGCAUGCCUCCCUUAUUUAACACCCCUGAUUCAGAUCAUCAGCUUGUUAGGAGAGAGCUUCAUGAACUAAG